ACACAGACAAACCCCAGCAGAUAAUUGGCCUAAUGGAUAAUUGGAUAUUUCUAAUACAAAUGUGUGGUAAAUGUUGCUGGCUGCUUCUGUUGACAAUCUGAUUGUGUUUUUACCAUGUUGCCUCCUCCUCAUCAUACCAUACAAAAUAAAAUGUAUAGAUGAAUGUCAAAUUACUGACAUGGACAUUAACAGCAUACAGUACUUUAUCUUUGUGGUUAAUUAACAGUGAGCAAUGUUGGUAGUCUUUGUCUAACAUUUAAGUUAACAGUUAGCAGUACAGGACCAGUGCGUUUUGAAGGGUUGACACAAGAUGAUACCAUAGUUAUUUGUGUGGGUUCUUUGGCUCAUGAUUGUUGUCUGGCUGUCCACACAUGCAUCAGGAGGAGUGGAUUGUGGGAUUUCACCAGCAUUAUCAACAGAUAUCAACUCUGAUGUGACUCUAAGCUCUGAAGGUAGAGCUGCUGAGGAGGCUUCCACACCCAAUCUGAUCAUUGUGAUGUCUAGUUCAAUAUUUGGGUUUAUUUUCUAUUUAAAUCAUUUGAUGAUUUUAUGCAAUAGUUAAUGUGAAAUGGUUUCGCAUAAAUUCAAGCAUGGAAAAGAAUUGGCCCAGCAUUUGUUGAUGUUUUAAACUAAAAUCACUACUAAGGGUUUUUAUUUUAUUCCUGCAUCUUCUUUAUGAAUGAAUCACAGCCCACUUCUGAACAUUUCCAUUAACUGUGUUUGUCUAUAUCUUUUAAAACACUCACCCAGUUGAAGGUUCUGGGAAAGAGCUAGAAUGAGGACAAGGACCUGGACCUGGGAAGUAAGGGAAAAGCUUGGUAAAAGUGCAAAAAAGGCUGAUCUAUAUGUGCAGGGCAGGUAAACAUUCAGGAAUACAUUUGAAAGACUUUAUCAGUACCACAGCUUUGUGAAAGUCCAUUUUUCCCUCAAAUGUGAAAUCCUGAUACUGUACAGUACAGUACACUUCAUGGGCUGGGCUGUACAACACCUACCACGGUUAGAGUUAAUUUCUAUGUCCAUGUAUAUAGAAAAACAGGAAGUUGUCAUGAGGGUCCAGUGUGUUACACAUUAUUUAGAACAACAGGAAGUUGUCAUAAGGGUCCAGUGUGUUACACAUUAUUGAGGGAAGGGAAUGGUGCAUAUACAUUCAGAAAGGAUAAAUACCCCUUUCAAUAAAAACAAAUAAAAAAUGUGUUGGGGUACACUUCAGGAGGUGUAUUGAGUUGGAAUGAGCUGGUAGUCCUGAGUGAGGUCUGUAUGUAGAGAGAACAUGAGCUGGUAGUCCUGAGUCAGGUCUGUAUGUAGAACAUGAGCUGGUAGUCCUGAGUCAGGUCUGUAUGUAGAACAUGAGCUGGUAGUCCUGAGUCAGGUCUGUAUGUAGAGAGAACAUGAGCUGGUAGUCCUGAGUCAGGUCUGUAUGUAGAGAGAACAUGAGCUGGUAGUCCUGAGUGAGGUCUGUAUGUAGCACAUGAGCUGGUAGUCCUGAGUCAGGUCUGUAUGUAGAACAUGAGCUGGUAGUCCUGAGUCAGGUCUGUAUGUAGAGAGAACAUGAGCUGGUAGUCCUGAGUCAGGUCUGUAUGUAGUAAGAGACAGAACAUGAGCUGGUAGUUCUGAGUCAGGUCUGUGUGUAGUAAGAGACAGAACAUGAGCUGGUAGUCCUGAGUGAGGUCUGUAUGUAGAGAGAACAUGAGCUGGUAGUCCUGAGUGAGGUCUGUAUGUAGAGAGAACAUGAGCUGGUAGUCCUGAGUCAGGUCUGUAUGUAGUAAGAGACAGAACAUGAGCUGGUAGUUCUGAGUCAGGUCUGUAUGUAGAGAGAACAUGAGCUGGUAGUCCUGAGUCAGGUCUGUGUUUAGAGAAAACAUGAGCUGGUAGUCCUGAGUGAGGUCUGUAUGUAGAGAGAACAUGAGCUGGUAGUCCUGAGUCAGGUCUGUAUGUAGAGAGAACAUGAGCUGGUAGUCCUGAGUCAGGUCUGUAUGUAGAGAGAACAUGAGCUGGUAGUCCUGAGUCAGGUCUGUAUGUAGAGAGAACAUGAGCUGGUAGUCCUGAGUGAGGUCUGUAUGUAGAACAUGAGCUGGUAGUCCUGAGUCAGGUCUGUAUGUAGAACAUGAGCUGGUAGUCCUGAAUCAGGUCUGUAUGUAGAGAGAACAUGAGCUGGUAGUCCUGAGUCAGGUCUGUAUGUAGUAAGAGACAGAACAUGAGCUGGUAGUUCUGAGUCAGGUCUGUGUGUAGUAAGAGACAGAACAUGAGCUGGUAGUCCUGAGUGAGGUCUGUAUGUAGAGAGAACAUGAGCUGGUAGUCCUGAGUCAGGUCUGUGUGUAGAGAAAACACGAGCUGGUAGUCCUGAGUGAGGUCUGUAUGUAGAGAGAACAUGAGCUGGUAGUCCUGAGUCAGGUCUGUAUGUAGAGAGAACAUGAGCUGGUAGUCCUGAGUCAGGUCUGUAUGUAGAGAGAACAUGAGCUGGUAGUCCUGAGUCAGGUCUGUAUGUAGAG